rnacentral:lncRNA from 10 species
UCUACAAGAACUUCUAGUGCUCUGGGCAGCUGCGAGGGGUCAAGAAACCACAUCCCCAAAUCCAGCGGGAUCUCAGAGAGAAAGGCUGAUGGGAAGCUGCCCAGGGCUGACCUGGCACAUGCUGGGAAAACCCCUCGGUGCCAGGGCAGGAGGCAGAGCGUCUGCAGCUCCUCCCUCCCCAACACAGGGGGUAAGGAAUACAGCAGAACGGGAAUCGGGCGCCUUCAUGCUGCUGUUACCGCCCUUGGUUCAUGGCUUCUUUCACUUGGAAACCCCAGGAGGUGGGCAUUGCUGUA